UACGUAGGGAGCGAGCGUUGUCCGGAUUUAUUGGGCGUAAAGGGCGUGUAGGCGGUCUGUUAAGUCUGGAGUGAAAAUCCGGGGCUCAACCCCGGAACUGCUUCGGAUACUGGCGGACUUGAGUGCUCUAGAGGGCAGUGGAAUUCCCGGUGUAGCAGUGAAAUGCGUAGAGAUCGGGAGGAACACCAGUGGCGAAGGCGACUGCCUGGGGAGUAACUGACGCUGAGGCGCGGAAAGCUGGGGGAGCAAACAGG
rnacentral:rRNA from 1 species